rnacentral:rRNA from 1 species
AACGAACGCUGGCGGCAUGCCUAACACAUGCAAGUCGAACGAGAUCUUCGGGUCUAGUGGCGCACGGGUGCGUAACGCGUGGGAAUCUGCCCUUUGGUUCGGAAUAACAGUUGGAAACGACUGCUAAUACCGGAUGAUGACGAAAGUCCAAAGAUUUAUCGCCAGAGGAUGAGCCCGCGUAGGAUUAGCUAGUUGGUGUGGUAAAGGCGCACCAAGGCGACGAUCCUUAGCUGGUCUGAGAGGAUGAUCAGCCACACUGGGACUGAGACACGGCCCAGACUCCUACGGGAGGCAUCAGUGGGGAAUAUUGGACAAUGGGCGAAAGCCUGAUCCAGCAAUGCCGCGUGAGGGAUGAAGGCCUUAGGGUUGUAAGGCUCUUUUACCCGGGAUGAUAAUGACAGUACCGGGAGAAUAAGCUCCGGCUAACUCCGUGCCAGCCGCCGCCGUAA